UUAAGUAUUAUGGUAAAAAGGUGUUGUCAUGGCACUUGUAAUUCGGAUACAAGGUAGCCAGGCCGACUAAAGAUGGCUUCCAAUUCGUUCCGUAUUCGAAACCAGCGAGUUAUUUAGAAAAAUACAAGUGCUGUAUCAGACUCUGUGGAAGACCUCAUCAACAGCUGAACUUGGAAUUUUUGAAAGAUCGUUCAAAGGCGAAACAUCUAUACGUCUGUACAAAACACUUUGUCGACGGGAAAUCCAAUCAAGAAAACCCUGACCCUCAAGCAGCUACUGUAUUUGACCAGCUCACACCAGCUAGGCCUCCUCCAAAACUCAGAUAAAUAUUUGAGCCACCAAAAAAAUACGAGAACAGAUCGGUCUGAAUCGUUAAGAACUGGAGCUAACAUCAUAGAGGUACAUCCUUCCAAGAAUCCAUCAAAACAACAUGCUGAACAACUUCAAGAACUCUCUUCAAAAGACCACACUUUCCUGAAAUAAAUAAAAGAUGCCAAUAUUAAAAUAAAUCAGUUACAUGUAUUGUUAAAUAUUUUAAUACUAGCUGUAAAUGCUACUGCCUUUGAUGUUUGCUUCCUACAUGUAUAUCAUAAUGAAAUAUUGACAAGAUAAUAGCUAAUGUUU